GACGUGAGGCUGUCCAGAGGGAGCAUCGACCGCGAGGACGGAAGUCUCCAGGGUCCGGCUUCUAACCAGCACAUUUAUCAGCCUGUGGGCAAACCAGAUCAUGCUGCCCCGCCCAAAAAGCCACCACGCCCUGGAGCUCCCAGCCACUUGGGCAGCCUCGCCAGCCUCAACAACCCUGUGGACAGCUACAACGAAGGGGUUAAGGUACAACCGCCACUUGGAAGACUUGC